AAGCAGCGGAGGAGAUGUGGGGGAGGACCAUGGUGGCCGCCUCAUUUGCAUAUUGGGCGCCUGUUCUACGCAUGCAGCGACGUUUUACCAAUCAGCUCGACGUAUGUAGCAAGCCACGCCCGCGCGGCAACUCGUGUCGCGCGCUUCAUCACCAGCAUUGUAUAGGCGGUGGAACAGACAAAAGUUAGUUAGGCGCUCUUUACCUCCACUUAGGCAGCAAUAGUGCAGGGAGUUUAUGUGGUUAAAUUCAAGCAGGGUAGUUUUUGUAGUGGAUAUUAGCGAGCUCGGAAACUGCACUGACGCUCUUGAAGAAGCUGCAAACAGUGGAGUCCCCCAGCUGAAGCUAAUCACCGCCGCGGUAAAGUUAUUGUUGGGCACCCCGUGGGGUUUAAAGUUCAGCUAACAGUAGCGUCACUGGCUACUAGCAGGUAGUUAGCUCCCGUAUCUCAACCGACUACUUUGGUUACAAUGGCAGCUGUGUGCCAGCCACGACGUGCCUUGGUGGAAAUACCUGCUCCACAGCCUAAAAUUGCAGCUCGGAUGAGGAGGUCCUACUUAGAAAUUUUAAGUGGUCGUUUGGCUCCAAAUCCGCUUCCAAGGGGGAGAAAUACAGCCUCAAACACGAAGCGUGUGCAGCCAUUGGACUUGCCCAUUGGCGGGGUGUGGAGCGGGAGAAUAGAGGAGCAGUGUGAGAAGAUGGACGAGCACCAUACCCCGCUCUCCAAACAGCAGCUUGUCCAGCUAAUCAGAUCCCUCAUCUUGGUUGAGCAGAGCCAAGAGCCCAGGAACCUGGCCUCAGACUUGAAGUAUCUCCAGGAAGACUUGCAGCUAAAGAAGGCAAAUGUCUAUAGGUCCAUACCUUACUCACGGUUUGGCUCCAACAGGGACGCUCACUGCUACAGAAAGGCAUAUCCUCACCUGGUGGCAUUCAAAGUUUCAUGUCAGGAGUGGGGCCAAGUUCUUCUGAGGAACAAAGAGUGGGACGCCUGUGUUGGAGCACACGCUGAUGGCGUGGCGCUACACCAGCGAGUUGCCACAGUGGGAUACAGCGAGUCACAACGCUCUCAGAGAACAGUGUUACAGCAUUCUGGCAGCUCACAGCCUCUCUGCUCUCCAGCACUACCACCCAGAACCAAACAGAGGACGCGAGCUGCUCAGAAGGUAACACCUCAGGAUUUAAAGACAUAUGAACACCUCACAUACAGUUACUGUGCUAUCAUGUGCACUAAUUAUAUAUCCAUUAUUAUGAGAUUAACUUAAUACUGCACAUAAUAUAAAAUCUUAGUCUUAGAACGUCAGUUUCGCUUUUGACUAUGGCUUUCUUCAUGCAUUUGAAAGGUCACAGCGUGGAGCAGAUACUUCUAGGUAUUUCUGGUAUUCCAGAAAGUUAUAAAGAUGUUUCCUGCAAGUUUACCACCUCCUUCUGAACAGUAACCUGAAACAAAAUGGGUCAACUGGAGUUACUGAUGAACAAGAGCCCACAGCGAACCUCACUCUACGUGAAUCAUUACUUCUAGUCUGCGUUAAGUGCUACAUAUUCACAGUUCAAGCUGUGACACACAAUCGAUUUACUGCGCUCGCCUUGCCGCUUGUGUUAGCAACCAAUUGCCAACUUAAAUAUGCAUCUGAAGCAAAGCAGCAUGGGCGUCCUACUGGAGUCCUGUCUCGCGACCUGCUGAGUGUUGAAGAUGGCUCAGCUGCACAGCCAGUCAAUUGUUCCCUGUAUUCAGGAGUUGCAGAGGAUUAUGGGAUGUGCAGAUGACUCCUCCAUGGAUACAAAAUAACAUGAUAAACACUAUCUAACAAGGCAGCUGAACCCAAGUGAAAAGUGUGCUUCAUAAAUGACCUAAAUGAUUUAUGUGUGGUACAGGGCCAAAAAACAUUUAACGUGGUAGUGUUUGUUUGUAAAACCACUACAGUAUUUUUCCAAAGGGCAGGGUAACAUCUGCAAAUGAAAUGCCAGAGUGAAAGAGUCCGAUAAUGCAGGUUUAACAAGGUAAAUAAAACCACCUCCUAAAUGGUUGAAAAUGCAAUAAAACCUCUUAUUUAAUCUCAUUGCAUUUUUACAUCAACUGGAAAGCUUAAUGUAACGAUGAGUGUAACAUUUGUUGCAUCACUUGUCGUAAUGUAUUCAUCAUAGGUUAAUGUCACAUUACGUCCAAGUUGCCUAUGACCCUAUUACAAAGGCAUAUUUUCUUUUUAGACAAGCAUUCACACUGUGAGAAAUGUUCAGUUCAGUAUAAUUCAGAUGUUUGUAUAUUUUUAGACAUUUGUAUAGAAUAACAUUUGAAAUGUAAAAAGUCUGAAAUGGCCUUUGCUGUUGCUUUGUAUGGGUGUGUAUAUAUUAUCCUUAGUACUGUUCACAAUACUUGAAACUAUGGCCUUUGCCAUCUUUGUAGUUGUGUUUAUAUAUGUAUGUCUUCUAUAUAGAGCAUUGUCUGUGUCACUGAUUGCACUGUUGUGGUUUGUCCUGAAAACUUGAAAAAUUUUGAUAAAAUAAUUUAAUUAAAGUUAUGACUUUGUA